rnacentral:rRNA from 1 species
UGGGGAAUUUUGGACGAAUUGGGCGAAAGCCUGAAUCCAGCAAUGCCGCGUGUGUGAAGAAGGCCUUCGGGUUGUAAAGCACUUUUGUCCGGAAAGAAAUCCUUGGCUCUAAUACAGUCGGGGGAUACGGUACCGGAAGAAUAAGCACCGGCUAACUACGUGCCAGCAGCCGCGGUAAUACGUAGGGUGCAAGCGUUAAUCGGAAUUACUGGGCGUAAAGCGUGCGCAGGCGGUUUGCUAAGACCGAUGUGAAAUCCCCGGGCUCAACCUGGGACUGCAUUGGUGACUGGCAGGCUAGAGNAUGGCAGAGGGGGGUUAGAAUUCCACGUGUACAGUGAAAUGCGUAGAGAUGUGGAGGAAUACCGAUGGCGAAGGCA